UACGUAGGGUGCGAGCGUUAAUCGGAAUUACUGGGCGUAAAGCGUGCGUAGGCGGGUCUUUAAGUCAGGGGUGAAAUCCUGGAGCUCAACUCCAGAACUGCCUUUGAUACUGAAGAUCUUGAGUUCGGGAGAGGUGAGUGGAACUGCGAGUGUAGAGGUGAAAUUCGUAGAUAUUCGCAAGAACACCAGUGGCGAAGGCGGCUCACUGGCCCGAUACUGACGCUGAGGCACGAAAGCGUGGGGAGCAAACAGG
rnacentral:rRNA from 1 species